UCUGCUGUAUGCUAAACCUGAUGUAGUGUGAUAAUGUAAUUUUCUCCUGUAGUCUCUGCUUCCCCCAGUCAGACUGAGAUGGAGGCAGACAGUAAUGUGACUCUCCACUGCAUCCUGCACGCAUCUAACCACGAUGGAGAUGAAUUUAUUCUGAGCUGGGUGGAUGACACAGGGAAAGAGCUGCAGAACAAUAGCUAUCGACAGAUCAGAACCUCAUCUCCCAUUUCUAUCACACUGACUGAGGAGCUCAGAGGUCCAAACCCUGUUCAUACUCGGACAUGCCAGGUGACUUCAGGAGGACAGGUUCAGACUUCUGUCUCCCACACCAUCAGAGUGAAAGUGGUCCAUAUGGCUGUUAAAGUUGCUACCACUAUCAGUCUGUUUGUGGCUGUGAUCAUAGUUGAAGUAAUUUGCAGGAUGAGAUCAGGUGAGUGGAUUAUUGCAGAAACACACUGAUCUACACACUCUUAACUCUACUGAUGUUUAUCUUACUGUGACUGAUUUAACUCUAUCUAUCUCAGCUACUGUAGAUACACACUGAUCUACACACUCUUUACUGUAUCUCUGACUGAUUCAACUCAAUCUGUCUCAGCUACUGCAGAUACAUACUGAUCUACACACUCUCUUUAUUGUACUUCUAACUGAUUCAACUCCACCUGUCUGUCUCUCAGGUGAUCCCCAUGGCGAACCGAACACCUCUGUGAGUAAAACACACAUAUACUGUACGCAUUUCAACAUUAGUUUGUAAAACUAUAAAUGUGGUGUUCUCUUUCUUUUCCCUAAGGCUCGUAGGGUUCACUCUGCUGCAACCAGUGACUCCUUGUAGCCUUGUAUUCCUUGUGGGCUCUUGAGACGCAACUGGUGCCAGACUCUUCAUCACCUAAAUCAACCUUCAUCACCUGCACUGGAGCUACAGGAUACCAGGCUAGCAGGCUGCAGUGAUACUAUACCUGCUUUAAGGUGGCAUCAAUGUUCAACUUCAAGACGUCUCAAACCUCAAUGAGGUUUUUUUUUAAAUUAUCUUACAUUAACCGUGUGCUGGUUUGGCUCUGACUGGUUCGCUUAGCAGUACUUUUAUGAGGGAGAUUUGGGAUCAUUUUGUGUUUUACAAUAAUCAAUGUGCUAUUGUGCUUAGUUGAGAGUUUUCUUUUUCAUGUGUGUAAGUUUGAAAUGCUCUCCUUUUUCUGUCCCUGAGUUUUUAUGAAUGUAUCAUACCUUAUGGUGUGGACAUGAAAUCCUUCUAUAGAGUUAAGUGAGGAAUAUAUUAGCAGAGCUUUGGAUUUGUUACUUUUACCUUGUAUUGCUUGUAACUUUCCCCGGUGCCGUGAAUAAAGCUGCAGUCUCACACCGUUGUUGCCUGAAA
rnacentral:lncRNA from 1 species